UCUCUCGACCUACGUGAACCUGCAGCAACGACGUAAAGUGGUACAAGUAAUCUCUCUGUGUUUUGUGCCUACAAGGUUACUCUCAAAUGAAUACUAGAGCUAAAGGAGCAUCUGUGUCAUCUCAGUGCACAGGAAAGUCUGGUGGAGAUUUUUCCCGUCAAAUUCAUACAUUAAAUAUGGAAGUUCAAAAUUG